AUGUUCGAAAUCCCGAGUGAGGGGGCUAUGCGGGAGUCCGAACAUCCUCUUGACCAACAAAAAGCUACCACGUGCCUACGCUACCACCCAUUCCGUUCUCCCCUCUCUCCUCCAAAAGCAAGAGGAGCAGCGAUGCAUACAGGGACCACGCACCCACUUGCCCUCUCCUCCUUUCUCCCAUUGCAAUUUCUCUCACGAAAUUUGCAAGUAGCUUUGGAUGGUUGCCUUCCGCAUCUUGUCCGCGUACCACGUCCGGACACGUUUGAGGACAUUUGUAGUGUCUGUUUUAGGGAUUUGCACUGGAGGCGCCCUCAGGCUGCUUAUUACCAAGUGGAAUUUGCGGGUUCGAUUUUAAUUAGAGGCCAUUUAAGUUUGUUUGUUUUUCUCCGUAGUUUUUUUUCUUAA
rnacentral:rRNA from 1 species